ensembl:lncRNA LAMA4-AS1 LAMA4 antisense RNA 1
UCCCCUUUGGAGAUCACUGGAAACAGCUUCUGGACCACAAAUGGGGUGAACUACUGUAUCGAGAAAGGAGAGAGUAAGACUUGAGAGCUAUCUUUUUAGCUCAGGGUGCAGAUGGAGUCUUGCUCUGUCACUCAGGCUGGAGUGCAGUAGCGCAGUCUCGGCUCAUUGCAACCUCUGCUUUCCGGUUUCAAGCUAUUCUCCUGCCUCAGCCUCCUGAGUAGCUGGUGUACACCACCACGCGGGAAGCUCACCAGAAUCCAUGCUGUGUGCGAUUGUGACCCUGGAACCCAGCCCAUUUCAAUGUAUUUUGCAUGUCCUCCUCUGAAGCAUGCUGGAGAUAAAGAAUGAUGAACGAGCAAGAGUAAGUUUAAUUAGCACAUGACUUGCAAUAUUUCCCCACUCUGAGGACUAACCAUGCUUUUUCUGGUUUUGGACGGAAUCUUAAAUCCAAGUUUUUAAAAGGGUCUUACUUUCUUAAUAUAGUUUUAGAUUAGAUUUUAGAAUCAGCACAUUAUGCACGAAUCUAAGAAAUAGACAUUUUGCACAAUCCAAGGUGGAGGUUAGUCAUCAUUUUGCCUCUCUCUACAGUUUGUGAGAGAGAAAUUAUAGCAACCAGAACAGCACUCUAGUCCUCUAGAGAGCAAUGUUU